AACGAACGCUGGCGGCAUGCCUAACACAUGCAAGUCGAACGAGACCUUCGGGUCUAGUGGCGCACGGGUGCGUAACGCGUGGGAACCUGCCCUUAGGUUCGGAAUAACUCUCCGAAAGGGGUGCUAAUACCGGAUAAUGUCUUCGGACCAAAGAUUUAUCGCCUUUGGAUGGGCCCGCGUUGGAUUAGCUAGUUGGUAGGGUAAAAGCCUACCAAGGCGACGAUCCAUAGCUGGUCUGAGAGGAUGAUCAGCCACACUGGGACUGGGACACGGCCCAGACUCCUACGGGAGGCAGCAAUGGGGGAUAUUGGAAAAUGGGCGAAAGCCUGAUCCAGCAAUGCCGCGUGAGUGAUGAAGGCCUUAGGGUUGUAAAGCUCUUUUACCCGGGAUGAUAAUGACAGUACCGGGAGAAUAAGCUCCGGCUAACUCCGUG
rnacentral:rRNA from 1 species